AUCAGCCCCGCCAGCAAUUUCAGAAUGUACUUCACUUUGCUGUCUUGGUUAAUCUUCAUUAAUACAUUAUGUUCAUGUGGACAGGAGUUAACUGAUGAAGCAGAAAAAUUGUAUUGGAAUUUAUGUCAGUGUCACUGGGAAGAUUGGAAUAAUAAAAAUAGAAGAAUUCUACUGCUAAUGCUUGUGAAAUACAGCAACCCUUGGACUCUCAGUAUAGGCUUUGUUGUGAACAAAAAACUAAUGGUAAAGAUAUACAGAUUGGGAAACGCUUUAGUGUCGUACUUCAUAUACACUCUUCGAUAAUUCAAUAUUCAAUUUAUUCAUCUGUGAAAAAUAAAACAUAUUGGAAUUUCUAUAAUUAUGUCGAUGAGUCAAGAAAAAUACGAAUGAAGAUAUCAGAGGAAAAAACAUGUGUGCAUUUCGGGAGGCCCGACAGGAAUGAUAACUUGAACUAAUUUAGGUUGAACUAUUCAAUAUUGAAAUUGUUCAACUUGAGGAAAGCUUAGGUUAUCACUGAAAGUUUAUGUAUAAUAAUAUGAUGAUGUAUGAAGAAGUUAUUUAUCAACGAAAUCUUUUAUUGAUUAUUUUGUGUAUGUACAUAUAUUAUAGCUAUCAUAAUUGUUACUUCUGUAGGAUUAAAUAAUGAUACUAAUAAUGUACAUACACAAAACUAGUAUCAUCAUGACUUCGUAGGUACGUGCGGCAGAUACCCAACGGAAAAAUAACAACUAACCCAGCUAAUGCCGCGCAGAUAAAUGAAGUAAAACCAUUAGGCACAUGUGCAACAUAUUCGAUUCGGAAGAUUGGUCGCAAGUUAUUUUCCACUAUGGAAAGCAGAUAUCAAUUUCGUUUGGUACAUACGACCAACCGAUAGAUCGGUUUCGGGGUGCUUGCCCCUUUGUUCAUUUUAUUUUUCGUUUAUGGUUAAGCAUUGUGGAUAAAAUUUGAUAUUGUCCUGUAAAUGGGUAAUUGUUGGACAAUAAAUCCAUUAUUAUUAUUAUUAU